CCGUGACUACCGUAUUAGAUACUGCAUUGGAACCUUUGCCACUCUGACUUGCCUAGUAGAGAUGUAUUUUCAAUUAAUUGUUCCUUCAAUCUUAUGCAGCUAGAAAUUAUUCCUUUUCAAAUACUUAGAGUGGGAAAAUUGAUCAUACUUUCUGUUCCAGGAGAGCUGACAACAAUGGCUGGCCGACGACCGAGGGAGGCAGUUAAGGAGACAUUGAUAAGUAAUGGAGGGGGAGAAUUUAACGAGGAGACCCACGUUCCCUUACUCCCAGUAUACUGCAACUUUCGAAGAAUACGAACAACAAGGAUACGAAGUAUGCACUUGCUGAGAUAAAAAGAAGAGGUUGUAAUAGUAGCCAGGCUAGUUUGUCUUUGCCAAUUCUUAAUGAAUUGUGUAGGCUGCUUCAACACUCUAUGGUCCUCGCACAUUAUCAGAAUGCACACAAGAAUUUAGCCACCAAGCACUAGCAAUGGCAAAGGGAUGGGGUGUCCUUCAGCCAGCAGACUGGUCACAACCUGAUCUUUCCUCAAAAGUACUCAAACUAUUAGCUGAUCCAUUUCGAGACUCGCUUCCAAGUGGUAAGAAGUCUGGUGACAUCAAACAAGAUAUUAGUAAACCAAAAGGUGGCUCGUUAAAAAAAGGGGAUCGAGCGAGCGCCACAUUUUAGAGUGCUAACCCGAGGAAUGAUCUGUUAACAGAAGGCACAUUAGCAGUGGUAGAGAUGCUGCAGGGACAGCAGUGGAUUCCAGUACAUGAUGAUGAUGAUGAUGAUUUCUGCUUGUUUUUCAAGUGGAAAUUGGACAGUAGCAGUUUCUAUACUAGCUUCGCAACCAUUGAAGGGGAGGUGCCAAAGGAGACUAGCUCCGGAGUUUAUCGACCAAAGGCAUUCUGGGUCAUCUAAGAAAGCACAAGGCUCUCCCAUCGAAUACUUUACUGGUGCAUCUAUUGCAUUUACAAUGUCGUAAUCUAAGAGAUCGGUAUUCAAUGCUUGUUGUUAUAAUGGGAAAAAAAGAGCUUCCCUGAAUCCAAAACAUGGUUGUAUUGAUAUUUUAAAAACUCCGCCUUCAAAAAACAAAGUGCCCAUAAAAGGGCAGAUGCUUAGAUGAGAACUUUUAAGAGUCAUGAUACAAAUAACUUCGAGGGAUUUACUUAUUUGUCCAUCCAAAUCACUCAUCGGAGACUCUUUCCUUCAAGUAAUAGAUCAAAGGCUUUGUUAAUGUCUUCAA